UACGUAGGGUGCAAGCGUUAUCCGGAAUUAUUGGGCGUAAAGAGCUCGUAGGCGGUUUGUCGCGUCUGCUGUGAAAACCCGGGGCUCAACCCCCGGGCCUGCAGUCGAUACGGGCAGACUAGAGUGCGGUAGGGGAGACUGGAAUUCCUGGUGUAGCGGUGAAAUGCGCAGAUAUCAGGAGGAACACCGGUGGUGAAGGCGGGUCUCUGGGCCGUAACUGACGCUGAGGAGCGAAAGCGUGGGUAGCAAACAGG
rnacentral:rRNA from 1 species